AGCGAACGCUGGCGGCAGGCCUAACACAUGCAAGUCGAGCGCCCAGCAAUGGGAGCGGCAGACGGGUGAGUAACACGUGGGGAUGUGCCCAAUGGUACGGAAUAGCUCCGGGAAACUGGAAUUAAUACCGUAUGUGCCCUUCGGGGAAAGAUUUAUCGCCAUUGGAUCAACCCGCGUCUGAUUAGCUAGUUGGUGAGGUAAAGGCGCACCAAGGCGACGAUCAGUAGCUGGUCUGAGAGGAUGAUCAGCCACACUGGGACUGAGACACGGCCCAGACUCCUACGGGAGGCAGCAGUGGGGAAUAUUGGACAAUGGGCGCAAGCCUGAUCCAGCCAUGCCGCGUGUGUGAUGAAGGCCUUAGGGUUGUAAAGCACUUUCGCCGGUGAAGAUAAUGACGGUAACCGGAGAAGAAGCCCCGGCUAACUUCGUGCCAGCAGCCGCCGUAACAC
rnacentral:rRNA from 1 species